ACGCUCGACACCUACGGGGGGCAGCAGUGGGGAAUAUUGCACAAUGGAGGAAACUCUGAUGCAGCGAUGCCGCGUGAGGGAAGAAGGUUUUCGGAUUGUAAACCUCUGUCUUUGGGGACGAUAAUGACGGUACCCAAGGAGGAAGCUCCGGCUAACUACGUGCCAGCAGCCACGGUAAUCUGAGCGGGCUGGCAAGGC
rnacentral:rRNA from 1 species